CCUUCCAAAUUCAUCUCCCAAAGCAAAGCUCAUGCCAUUUGUGUGUUGGAUUCAGAUGUGUCACUUUAAAAUUAAUCUAAAAUGCAUACGGUACUUAAAGAAUCCAUAUGCAUUUUAGAUCAAAUUUAAAGUGAUGCAUCUGAAUCCAACACACAAAUGGCAUGGGCUUUGCUUUGGGAGAUGAAUUUGGUACUUA